rnacentral:snRNA from 1 species
GAAACUUUACUCUUUUAGUAUUUGUCCAGAAGGUCUUCAAACAUUGAAGUUCCCAC